rnacentral:ncRNA from 1 species
GUGUUCGUUGAAAGAAGAGACAGUUGGCAUCUCCCCUGAAGCGAUGGGAACAGCCUUUGGGCUUUUCUGUUACCGAAUACAUACGGUUAGGGCUACCCACCUCUUUGAGGUGGAUCUUACCCAAUUUUUUU